GGUUCCAGGUCCAAAAUGGCAACCCUCAAGGACCAGCUGGUUGUGAUUCUUCUUAAGGAAGAGCAGGCCCUCCAGAACAAGAUUCCAGCUGUUGGGGUGGGCACUGUUGGCAUGGCUUGUGCCAUCAGUAUCUCAAUGAAGGACUUGGCAGGUGAGUUUGCCCUUGUUGAUGUCAAGCAAGACAAACUGAAGGGAGAGAUGAAGGAUCUGCAGCACGGCAGCCUUUUCCUUAGAACGACAAAAAUGGUCUCUGGCAAAGGCUGUAGUGUGACUGCGAGUUCCAGGCUAGCCAUUGCCACAGCAGGAGCCUGCCAGCAAGAGGGAGGGAGCCGGCUCAAUGUGGUCCAGGGAACGGUGAACAUCGUCAGCUUCAUUGUUCCCAACAUGGUGAAGAACAGCCCAAACUGCGAGCUGCUUGUUGCUUCAAACACAGGGGCUGUCUUAGCCUCUGCGGCUUGGGAGAGAAGCGGCUUUCCUGAAAACUGAGUUCUCGGAAGUGGUUGCGAUCUGGAUUCAGCUCCAUUCCAUUACCUGGUGGGAGAAAGGAGUUCACCCACUGAGCGAUCACGGACGGGUCCUCUGGCAGCGUGGGAGCUCCAGGGUGCCUGUGUGGUGUGGUAUAAAUGUUGCUGGCGUCUCCCUGAAGAAUCUCGGCCUAGAAUUAAGUAAGCACUGACGCAGACAAAGAGCAGUGGAAAAGGCUCACAAACAGGUGGCUGACAACGCCUAGGAGGUGCUCAAGUGGAGGAUCCUAUGUCCUGGGCCGUCGGCCUCUCGGUGGCAGACUUGGCCAAGAGCAAGGUGAAGAAUCUUAGGAGAGCGUCUCCCAUUUCCACCAUGAUUAAGGUUCUCUAUGGAAUAAAGGAGGACACCUUCCUCGGUGUCCCCUGUAUUCUGGGACAAAAUGGGAUUGUGGAUGUUGUGAAGGUGACUCUGACUCCUGCGGAGGAGGCCUGCUUGAAGAAGAGAGCUGUAGUUCUAAGUCGAUGCUAGCAUUGGACUCACAAUGUAGCCCAGGCUAGUCUCAGACUUGCAGCGGUCAUCCUGCUCCAGCCUCCCAAGUGUUGGGAUUACCAGUGUUUGCCCUCAGGCCUGACUUU